UCUCGAUAGCGUAAAAGUUAACUCAUAUUUGUAUGGAUUGGGAUCGUUUGCAUACGUUUGCCGCUAGGGGCGCUGUUUCAACUGCAUACAAAAUUGAGUUAACUUUUACGCUAUCCA
rnacentral:pre_miRNA from 9 species